AUGAGUGGUGUUUGGUUUGAUACGGGUGGUCGGCUCCCUGCUUGAGCAGGCACGGCCACGCGUGCAUUCCUUUUCAGUAGUGCGGCAAGGCUUGUAUCGUCUUGAUCGUAUAAGUGGGUUUCUUGUGUUGCAUACCUGAUCAAUGGCAUCGUUUUGAUCAAAAUGGUACCUUUUUCGUCUGACGAUGCACUUAUUGCGUUGUCGGAUGAACCGUGUAGCAUCCUCUUUGAUCCAUACAGUUGACGUGUACUCGUUGAUUGUUUGGCCCGUUGAGGGUGACUUGGUCUCUCGGAUAUGGAAGCCAAAGUGGGCAUGGGUUCGCAAGAUCCCUUUAUUGCCCUCAUUGAGCGUUCUCGCUUCUCUUACACGACUGCCUUUCACGUAUGGCACGUCCCAGCGUGUUUGGCUAUGUCGAAGAGGAAU
rnacentral:misc_RNA from 1 species